AUUGAACGCAGGCGGAAUGCUUUACACAUGCAAGUCGAACGGCAGCACGGACUUCGGUCUGGUGGCGAGUGGCGAACGGGUGAGUAAUGUAUCGGAACGUGCCCAGUCGUGGGGGAUAACGUAGUGAAAAUUACGCUAAUACCGCAUACGAUCUAUGGAUGAAAGCGGGGGAUCGCAAGACCUUGCGCGAUUGGAGCGGCCGAUAUCAGAUUAGGUAGUUGGUGGGGUAAAGGCCCACCAAGCCAACGAUCUGUAGCUGGUCUGAGAGGACGACCAGCCACACUGGAACUGAGACACGGUCCAGACUCCUACGGGAGGCAGCAGUGGGGAAUUUUGGACAAUGGGCGAAAGCCUGAUCCAGCCAUUCCGCGUGCAGGAUGAAGGCCCUCGGGUUGUAAACUGCUUUUGUACAGAACGAAAAGGUUUCUACUAAUACUAGGAGCUCAUGACGGUACUGUAAGAAUAAGCACCGGCUAACUACGUGCCAGCAGCCGCUGUAA
rnacentral:rRNA from 1 species